ACUGUCAAAAUCAAAUUGCACAUAACUAUACAUUUAACUAUUAAUAAUAAUAACUACACAAUUUACAAGGUACACACAUUUUCUUUGAUUUUUUUUUCAUUGUAUUAGUUUCAUUACUUUUUAUCCAUAACAAUAUUACAAUUGUAUGGUACUCUCUUUAAAAAUGUAAAGCUUGCUAGGAUAAUACUUGAAAGUAAUACAAUAUUUUUGUAAAAAUAUUAUAACAUCCAAAUAUUAUAGUGUAGGACAAUUUUUAAUAAUAUUCACUUUCAACACAAAUUAUUUUAAAUUCGAUUUUUUCGCUAACACAUAUAAUAUUUGUACAUAUUUUAUUUGAACAAAGGCGAAUAAUAUUGUGCAUUAUAAACAUUAUCUGAACUAAAACAUAAAUAAUCAUAAUAAUAAUAAAAUAUAAAAAUAAGAAAAAAGUUUCAAGGGUGCGUAUAACUACAUAUUGUACUGUAUUAUCUUUUUAAUUAAUUAUAGUACAUAAUGUGUACAUACACACAUACAGGUACAUCAUUUAAAAGGCACUUAGAAUAUAUAUAUUUUUUUUUUUUUUGUCUUUUUCUGUCAUUGACAUGAACAAUAAGUAAAAAUAAUCCAUUUUUAAAAACUCACAAACAACAAUAUUAAUAUUGCUGCUUGACAAAAUAGCAUUGGCCAUGCCAUGUACAUAUUAUUAUACAUUUAGCGUUAAAAUAAUUAAAUUUAGUUUAAAGUAAAAUAAUAAAACUUUAAAUAAAAAGAUAAAAAGUAAAAUUAAAAAACAUAUUAUAAAAUAUUGUUAGAGUUCUAAUUAAAAAUCAUCCCCACGUUGGAGAACAGUAGAAAAACAAAAUUACAACAGCACCUAUCUUAUAAUAAUACAAUAAUAAUACAAUAAGCGAGAAAAUAAAAAACCAAAACAAUUUUUUCUUCAUUUUAUCAAUAAUAUUAAUAUUGUCAUAAUGAUUUUUUUCGUAUACAAGACAUAUUGCAUCAAUAAAAUCUAAAAUUUGUACUGUACUUUUAUGUUUUCUGGAAAAUCUUUUCACAAAGUUCCUAUAAAAUGACAAUACUUAAAAAUAGCUACUGGGUAGUAUGAACAAACAACCAAUGAUAAAAGUUAAUGUCUAUAAUACAAGAUUUUUAUCAGAGAACUAUACCAACACCAACACCUGAUGUAAAUAUAAAAAAAAAUAUGAUGUUUAAUUUAAUAAGCACAUUGAUAAAAUUAUACACUAUACAAUUAUUAUUGGAAUUUAAAUGUGGAAAAAAAAUGUAGUAGUGCUUUUAACAUUGAGAAUUCUGUGAGUAUUGCAAUAUUAAAAUGUUCCAAUGAAAAUAUCAAAUUUUAAAAUACAAAAAAAAAAUAAUAAUAAGGAACAAUUUUACAAAUUGUAUGUUGUGUGAUUGAAGGUUUUAAUGAAUUCAGUACCUAUAUUUUGUUAACAUUUUAAUACUAAACUGGUCUUAAUUGCUUAUUAUUAUUAAUUUUAUUUUUGUACAUUGUAUUACUUAGCCUAUUAUAAUUUCCUUUUCUAAGUACAAAGCCAUUAAAAAUCCAUAAUAAUAAUAAUAAUAAUAGUAAUAAAUCAUAAAAUAAUAAAUUAUUGUAAAAAAAAUAUUUGCAAUAAUAAAAAAAAAAAAUAUGUAUUAACAAAUUGAGCAGAGCAGAUCUGUUUAAAAUAAUAAUGAAAAAAAAGGUAAUAAUGUACUUAAUAUUUAACUUAAAAAGCAAAGUAUCGAUACACAACAAUUAUGUGAGACAAAAAAAACAAUAAAUUAAGAGAUAAUAAUAAUAAUAUAUCAUUUUAAAAUAUAUUAAUGUACACAAAAAUAUGAACAUGUGCAGGUCUUUGAUUAUUAUUUUACAGACAUUUUGACUAAAGUAAUAAAGCAAAAAUUACUCAGUGGACACAAUUAAUCUAACAAUAUUAUAUUAUUGCCGAAACAAAUUGUGUAUAUUAGGCCUGUAAUUUUUUCCCCCAUCUGAUGAUAAUUGACAAGUGUUAUUUUGUUUAAAUAUAAACAGAAAAUAUUGGGAAUUGGUAGGUCCACCCAAAAUAUCUAGUUCAUACUCUUGUGUAAACUAACAUUUUUUAAAAAAGACAUUAUACAGGUACAUACAUUGCAGUUAUAUUUUUUUUUUUUACAAGUCAAUUGAAACUUCCAGUGAAUUAUAUAUUUUUAAAAUAUAUGGCACACGUAAAACACAAAAAUCGAUUGUAUCAUUUUCGGAUUUACAAAAAACAUUGACACUUUAUGUAACAAAAAUCUUAACAACUAAACUUAAAACAUUGUACUAUCUAUAAAUCAAAACAUUAAAUGUUUGUUUGUACUAUAAUAUUACACAAUUUAUACUUGAUUAAUAAAGAAAAAAACAUGUUAUAUAUACAUGUAUAAUAAAAUAAAAUACUCAAUUCACAGAAUUAAAAAAAAAAAAACACACAAAAAAUUCAAUUUUACAUUGUGAGGUGAGUAUAAUAUCAAUAAUAAUAAUAAUAAUAUAAUAUUUUUAAUUGUUGAUAAGCACCAGGCUACAUUAUUUAAUGUUCAAUAAUGAUUUAAAAUUCCAUAAAAUGAAUAGCAGAAAAAAAAAUGGAUAAUCUAUUAAUAAUACAAAUAUUAAUCAAAACAUAAUAUAUCAUCAAUCAGGUGUGUGAUCCUACUUCAUUGUUUAAUGCCGGUUUAAUAAAGAAUAAAAACAAAAAAAAAAAAACUAAAUAACUUUAAUUGUUUUAAUAAUAUUCUACAUUUAAAACUGAUAAAUUGAUUAAAUAUUUUAUUUGUGUAAAUUAUAUUCAGUGAUUAAAAGGGCUUAAACAAAAUUUUAAUAUUAAAUUUAUAUUAAGUCUUUAAGGGCAUAUUAUGUUUUUUUUUUAAAAUAUACAGUAUUUACAGUAUAUUUUAUUUUACAGUACAUAGUCUUUUAUUAAUU